UUGGGUCUAAAGCGUCCGUAGCCGGCCGGAAAAGUUCUCCGUUAAAUCCAACGAUCCAAUCGUUGGGCCGCGGGGAAUACUCUUCGGCUUGGGGGCGAGGGAGGUCGGCGGUAGUCUCGGGGUAGGGGCGAAAUCCUAUAAUCCCGAGAGGACCACCAGUGGCGAAGGCGGCCGACUAAAGCGCGCCCGACGGUGAGGGACGAAAGCUGGGGGAGCGAACGGGAUUAGAUACCCCGGUAGUCCCAGCUGUAAACGAUGCAGGCUAGGUGUUGGGACGGCCACGAGCUGUCCCAGUGCCGCAGGGAAGCCAUUAAUCCUGCCACCUGGGGAGUACGGUCGCAAGGCUGAAUUCUCUUUGAACAAUCGCUCGAGAGACAG
rnacentral:rRNA from 1 species